ACUUUCAGAAAGAUGUCUAGGAUUUAUUCAAUUCUUCAGUUUCAAUAUCUCGGAACAUAAAACACAAAGAUAGUGAUGGCUGAAAAUCGUCGUUCUUAUGCCUGGCCGGAGGCCGGGGUUCCCAGGCUACCUAGACCUCUUCUACCCCAGCAGGUGCCUGAAGUACAACUGCAGGUAGCUGAAGUAUCAACUAUAGAAGAGGAGAAUACUAGAGAAGAUAAUAGUAUAGAAGAACUAGAGUUUAGAGGAGAUACUCAUGCUGAUAUUAUACUUGACGGGCUUAACAAACUCAGGAAGGAGAAUACGUUUACUGAUGUAAGAAUAAAAGUAGAAGAACAAGAGUUUCCUGCUCAUAGAUGUGUUCUAUCCUCAUUCUCUCCAUAUUUCAGGGCAAUGUUUACUGCUGGUCUUGCAGAAUCUGACAUGGAGGUGGUUCCAUUACAAGGAGUAGAACCUGAUAUGAUUAGGAACCUGCUAGAGUUUGCGUAUACAGGUUCUAUCAGUAUAACUAAACAUAACGUCCAGAACCUUCUCUCAGCAGCAAACCUUCUCGAGGUUCUCGAGGUUAGAGAUGCUUGCUGCCAGUUCCUGGAUAGGAAUAUGGAUGAAACUAACUGUCUGGGUAUUCACUGUUUUGCUGAAGUACAUGCAUGUACAGAACUCAUGCAUAGAGCUAAAGCUUUCCUUCUUCAACAUUUUCAGGAUAUAGUAGAUGGUGACGAGUUCAACACUAUCUCGGAGUCAAAGUUAGUUGAGAUCAUCAGCAGCGACCAGCUCGUCGUCGACAAGGAGGAAACCGUCUUCUACGCCUGCCUGUCCUGGCUUCAGGCACAAGAACGUGUGCCUAAAUGUUUUUACAACAUUUUGGAGCAUGUGCGCUUGCCGCUACUUUCUCCGUACUUUAUCCACGAUGUUGUCGAGAGAACUGCUGCCGUUACGGAGAGCGCAGAAUGCCGCAGACUGGUGGACGAGGCCAAAACAUUCCAUCUUCUACCGGAUCGAAGAGAUUCAGGUGGAGAGAGAACUAGACCUAGGAUGAGUGCAGGAACUACUCAGGUAAUAGUGGCAGUUGGUGGUGAGGAUGAUAAGGUUGUGAUGAGAAGCGUAGAAUUCUGGGAUAUAGUGACCGGAGCUUGGAAAACUCUUGCCUGUCUUCCUUUCGCGGUCAGCAAACAUGGACUUGUGGUCAGCGGUCACGGGAAACUGUACAUGGCAGGUGGAGAAUAUCCUGAUGGAUCAGCAAGUAGAGCAAUGUGGAGAUAUGAUCCUGUCCUAAACGCUUGGCAUGAAAUGGCAGGGAUGAAUGUUUGUAGGUCUGAGCUUGGUUUGGUAAUGCUGGAUGGAUGUGUUUAUGCUGUUGGAGGUUGGGAGGGUAGAUCUAGGUUGGAUAGUGUAGAGAGAUAUGACCCAGAGACAAAUAGUUGGCAGUUUAUACCGCCGCUAAAAAUGGCGGUUACGAGCCCCGCCGUGGUGGCAUAUGAUGGCGCACUAUACGUUACCGGCGGGGCUAUUCUGGAAGACGGAGACGGGAUAGAACUUGUUCAAAGGUAUGAUAAUAAAACAGGUUAUUGGACUGAGAUGGCCAGCAUGCUGAUACCUCGGAGUGGGAGCGCGGCAUGCGUGCUCGGAGGAUAUAUUUACGUGGUUGGAGGCUGGCAUGCCAGUACAGAGAAUACAAACAAGGUUGAAAGAUAUGAUGUUGCUCGGAAUAAAUGGGAGUUUGUCGGAUGUAUGUGUGAGCGCAGAUAUCGGCCAGCGGCCGCGGCUGUAGGUGGGAGAAUGUACGUGCUGGGAGGGGAGGAGGGAUUAGACCGGCAUCAUGAUACUAUUGAGGUUUAUGAUCCUGACUCAGAUACCUGGAGUAUAUCCGGAUACUUGACUAGUAGCAGGAGCUGGUUAUCCGCUGCUACCCUAUCCAUCAGGAAGGAUAUGGGACGGGAACGAAUGCCGUGUUCCUGACACAGGUACAGAAUACUUUAACACCCCGGUCAACCCAGUUCAUAACUAACCUGGCGACUGGACGGGACCUGGAUAAACGAAGGAUAACAAAAUGAGAAGAUGGAAGGGAAAAACAAAAACUUCCAUCGAACCCUGUAAAAAUGAAGACAACGUCUGUUUGAAAGUUGUGAAGAAAAUUUAUGAAAUUUAUGUAUUUAAAAAUCAAAUAUUAAUUAUGUAUUAAGAAAAUUACAGCUUUAAAAGCGUAACUAUUUUUCCUAUUGAAUAAAAGUAUGUUUUGACAGGGCACUAAAUAUUAGGAAGUAAAAUAGCAUUAUUGUAUUUCUUGUAUAAUGUGUUAAAUGUUAACUCGUAUCUCAUAGUAUUUAUAGAUAUCUAAACCAAAGUACAUAUAUAAUAAAAAUUUGCAACAAA
rnacentral:misc_RNA from 1 species